AGCCACAGGAUGACAUCUGUGGUUCAACCUGCCCAAUGUAAAGUUUUAGUAAUGAAUGGCCGCGGUACUCUGACCGUGCUAAGGUAGCGUAAUCAGUUGGCUUUUAAAUGGAGUCAGGAAUGAAUGGAAUAACCGGGUUUAGCUGUCUCUCAGUUAUUAAGUUGAAUUUACUGUCUAAGUGAAAAAGCUUAGAGUAAGAAAAGGGACGAGAAGACCCUUAGAAUUUUUUUUAGUGUAGAAAAUUUUUAGUGUCUAUAAUGAUUUUGUUGGGGCGACAAAGAAAUACAUAUUAACUUUCAUUUUUAAUACAUGCCGAUUAUAUUAAGAGAGGAUAAAUUACCUGAGGGAUAACAGCAUAAUUCUAUAGAUGAGUUUGUGACCUCGAUGUUGGACUAGGAAACUAGCAAGCUAGCCGUUUGCUGUGUGGGUUCUGUUCGAACUUUAAAUCCU
rnacentral:rRNA from 1 species